rnacentral:lncRNA from 1 species
GUAAAUGAUUUGUGUUUGAAGGAUUGUUCAAAUUCAACAUAUUUUCUUCUUUGAUUAAUGAAAAUUCUUUUUUAGAUCCUUCUUAAUCAAUUGUACAUUGAAUUCUGAAUCCUAUGAUGUUUGGCAUGGAAGAAUUUCAAAUCUAUUCAAAAGAUAUUUGUUGCGGCCAAUCUCCUAUCGCUUGUUGCCAGUGAAGAGUACCUACAAAAUGAAGUCCUUAC